rnacentral:rRNA from 1 species
CUAGCUUGCUAGGUGGAUUAGUGGCGCACGGGUGAGUAAUAUAUAGAUAACGUGCCUCUUAGUCUGGGAUAGCCAUUGGAAACGAUGAUUAAUACUAGAUACUCCUUCUAACUCUAAUGUUAGUCGGGAAAGUUUUUCGCUAAGAGAUCGGUCUAUAUCCCAUCAGCUAGUUGGUAGUGUAAGAGACUACCAAGGCAAUGACGGGUAGCGGGUUUGAGAGGAUGAUCCGCCACACUGGUACUGAGACACGGACCAGACUCCUACGGGAGGCAGCAGUGAGGAAUAUUGCACAAUGGAGGAAACUCUGAUGCAGCAACGCCACGUGGAGGAUGACGCAUUUCGGUGUGUAAACUCCUUUUAUAUGUCAAGAAAAUGACGGUAGCACAUGAAUAAGCACCGGCUAACUCCGUGCCAGCAGCCGCGGUAAUACGGAGGGUGCAAGCGUUAUUCGGAAUCACUGG